GGGGAUGUAAAGGUUUCGACGGGGACGGCGAAUCCGGAUAAGCGAGUAGCGGCGGGGCACCGCUAUAAAAGCCUCAACUAAAAAAUAAACAACACUAAUAAAGUUGCUUUAGCCGCUUGAUGCGGCUCGUCCGUCGGAGAGGACCGCGGCUCCGGACCGGGCGUCGACAGCGGUUCCUGUGAACGGCCCACGCCUUUAAGCCGUCAUACAUCAAAGGCUACUGAAAUAUGAAGCCUGUUAUUGGGCGUCAUACAGAGGGAACGUCAAAGCAAUAACUGCACUCGGAGAAGAUCCGGUGGAACUGUUUUCGGACAGGGGUUCAAUUCCCCUCAUCUCCACCA
rnacentral:tmRNA from 1 species